AGAGUAACUCAAAUUUUGAUCUGAAAAAAUCAUAUGCAGUACGCCACCAGUAGAUUGUAUGACAUUGACAAAUUGCAUUAACUUCAACAGGUGGCUAAUCCCACAACUCUAUGCAAAUAUUAACCUGACCAAUCCAUGAAGAGAACAGAGAA